UUGAUGGACAACUUAGAUGGGGUUAUGUCCAUAGUGGAUGAGAUUGUAGAUGGAGGUGUAAUACUAGAAGCGGAGGCCUCGUCCAUCAUACAGAAAGUAGCCAUCAAGACUGAUGAUGUGCCAUUAACAGAACAAACGGUAGCUCAGGUAAGUUUAUAUUAUCAUUAUCAUUGAGGUUUAGCAAGAGAAUGGGGAGUGACAGCACAUACAG